AUGGGCAAGUGGUGCUUGGGAUUUUUGCGGUUUGAGGAUGUUGAUCGGUUUCGGGUUGUAAAGCGGACUAAACGUGCAGUGGCAGCAGGGCGAGCUGAAUCAUAUACUAGGACAGCAGUUGGUGGAGGAGCUGCCUCAUCUUCCACAGCAGAUGUUGAGGAAUCACAUGAAGGAGUUGAGGUGGCUGCCCGGGAAGAUGUGGAGCGACCAUCACAAGCUGGCAGGUUAAGGGCAUCACCAGGACGGUUUGCGAAGUUCAACAGCUCACUAUCCCUGCCGCGGAAGUCUGAGCUAGUUUCAAGGUUGUUUUGGGGCCUCUUGAAUUUAUCAGAUACACUUCUAGGGGACUUCAGUAAAUUCCUGGUGCAGUCCUACCAGCCAGAGACCUUUGAAAUGGUGUUCAAAGGGUAUUUGAUCUUCCUAACGGGGGUCAAAAAGUCAAAUAUAAAGUUGACAAGGAUACAACUAGGAGAUUCAGAGAGACUUUCAACAUACGUGGAGAUUCUCAUCCCCAGAUCACUACAUGGUGCAAGAUGA
rnacentral:rRNA from 1 species